GACGAGCGCUGGCGGCGUGCCUAAUACAUGCAAGUAGAACGCUGAAGGAGGAGCUUGCUUCUCUGGAUGAGUUGCGAACGGGUGAGUAACGCGUAGGUAACCUGCCUGGUAGCGGGGGAUAACUAUUGGAAACGAUAGCUAAUACCGCAUAAUAGCAGUUAUUGCAUGAUAACUGUUUGAAAGGUGCAAUUGCACCACUACCAGAUGGACCUGCGUUGUAUUAGCUAGUUGGUGGGGUAACGGCUCACCAAGGCGACGAUACAUAGCCGAGCUGAGAGGGGGAUCGGCCACACUGGGACUGAGACACGGCCCAGACUCCUACGGGAGGGAGCAGUAGGGAAACUUCGGCAAUGGGCGGAAGUCUGACCGAACAACGCCGGGUGGGUGAAGAAGGUUUUCGGAUCGUAAAGCUCUGUUGUAAGGGAAGAACGAGUGUGAGAGUGAAAAGUUCACACUGUGACGGUAUCUUACCAGAAAGGGACGGCUAACUACGUG
rnacentral:rRNA from 1 species